CUACCCGCUGAACUUAAGCAUAUCAAUAAGCGGAGGAAAAGAAACUAACAAGGAUUCCCCUAGUAACGGCGAGUGAAGAGGGAAGAGCCCAAGAUUGAAAGCUGGCGUCUUUGGCGUCCGCAUUGUAAUCUCAAGAAGUGUUUUCCGCUUCGGACCAUGCCUAAGUCCCUUGGAAAAGGGCAUCAUAGAGGGUGAUAAUCCCGUACAUGGCAUGGAGCGCCCGAAGCUUUGUGAUACACUUUCUAAGAGUCGAGUUGUUUGGGAAUGCAGCUCAAAAUGGGUGGUAAAUGCCAUCUAAGGCUAAAUAUUGGGGAGAGACCGAUAGCGAACAAGUACAGUGAUGGAAAGAUGAAAAGAACUUUGAAAAGAGAGUUAAACAGUACGUGAAAUUGCCAAAAGGGAAGGGUAGGAGGUCAGAGAUGCGGUCUGGGAUUCAGCCUUGCUUUUGCUGGGUGUUUUUCUCAGAUUGCAGGCCAACGUCGGUUUUGGGCGCUGGAGAAGGGUGGAAGGAAUGUGGCACCUCUCGGGGUGUGUUAUAGCCUUCUACUGGAUACAGUGACCGAGACCGAGGACAGCAGCGUACUCGCAAGAGCGGGCCUUCGGGCACCUUACGCUA
rnacentral:rRNA from 1 species